rnacentral:lncRNA from 1 species
GCCAAAGCAACUUUCCUUCAUAUAUAUAUAUACACUGUUAUUUCUCACAAACAAAAGUCAUAUUGAGGUAUGAUACAUACAUUCAGAAGCAAGGGUACACAUUACAUCCUAUUCUGUUCUAAAAUAAAGAUAGCUAGGUAAGAUGGUGUCUAAUCUUCCAUUUCUUCUGGAUCCUCAUCGGGAUCUUCCUCUGGAUCUUCUUCUUGGUCUUCCUCUAACAUGCUUUGCUCCGAUCCAUCCGAUAAUGGUACGGGAAAACUUUCCUCUAAAACUCUCGAAAAGCACCUAGCCAAUGGUCCCUUAACUAACUUAGAUUUGGUAGCUCGUAAACUGGUAUUCAUGGAUAAGGAUAUAGUCUUCUUAAAGUUUCGCUGUAAAUCACGGCUAGUCCCG